AUGGUGGCAAGUGACCUGAAAUGUUUGCCUGCCACAUCCAACAUUUACCCUGUAUUUGGUGAGUCUGGUGUGGUGGAGGUUUCUGAGGAGUCAGGUCCUAUUUCAAAGACCUUCCAUGAUGCCCAAACACAGCAGUCAGACCCAGCAAUGGAGGACCACACCUACUCCAAAGGACCUAUCAUUACAUGUGGCAUGACAACUGCACCAGCCCGAGAGGUCACUGUCUGUUGCAGAUGUUACAUUGAAAGAGGAUGCAGACUGUCUGCUGAACACAAGGAUUCCACUACUAGAAUUCAACACUUGUGUCUUGCUUAAAAGUUUUUGCCCCCACAUCAUCAACGAUGCCAGUUGUAGACCAAAUUCUGUUGACACUAAUGAAACUUAAAACAGAACUUUGUUGUUAGCCCAAAAAUUGGCUAACACAUUGGGAGGGAUCUUAGACCAUUCCACCAUACAGAAUCUUUCCAGAUGAUAUCCUAUGUCUUUGCUUAAGGACUGCCCUAUUUGAUUCAAACCACAGGCUUUUAAUGGGGCUCAAGUCCAGAGACAGAUGGCAUUGUGAAAUGUUGAUUUUGUGGUCAAUUAAACAUUUACUUGUGGAUUUUGAUGUGUGCUUGGGGUUAUUGUCUUGCUGGAAGAUCCCCUGGCGGCCAAGUUUCAACCUCCUGGAAGAGGCAAUCAGGUUUUUGGCAAAAAUGUGCUGGUACUGGGAAAGGUUAAUGAUGCCAUUGACCUUAAUAACUGCCCCAGGACCAGUGGAAGCAAAAUAGCAAUGUUUACUCUCUCACUUACUUUCAUGUAGGCUAUAUUUGCGUUGAUCACAUCAGAAGGUCUAUUUUUCCAUGUGCAUGGUUACUUAUUAAUCUGUGCUGCUGCUCGUGCGGUGCAGUACACAAAUACGAGUUGCGGUUGCUUUUCUCCUAUGGGAAAAAAAUGAAUGCCAUUUGUUGAAUAUUAGAAGUACAGUAAGCUGAAAUUCUCACCUUUUCAAGAAAACCCCUUACCCCACUUGAUGUUUAUGGGGAGAAAAUCAGAGCUAUAAAUUGUUUAACCUGUAGCCAAGGCUUUAAAGCAAGGGUGGGCAAACUUUUUGGCUCGAGGGCCACAUUAGGAUUUUGAAAUUCAACGGAGGGACGCAUUUUUUGGGGGACCAAUUGUUAAUUAAAAUCUAUUUGCAGGGACCUUGCGAGUGGGGCAGCGGUCUAAGGCGUCACUACAAACCCGGGUUCGAUCCCAGGCUGUGUCACAGUUGGCUGUAACUGGGAGACCCAUGAGGCGGUGCACAAUUGGCCCAGCGUCGUCCGGGUUAGGAGAGGGUUUGGUAGGUUGAGAUUUCCUUGUCCCAUCGUGCUCUAGUGACUCCUGUGGCGGGCCGGGCGCAUGCAUGCUGACAUGGUCGCAGUUGUACAGUGUUUCCUCCGACACAUUGGUGCGGCUGGCUUCCGGGUUUAGAGGUUAUUGUGUCAAGAAGCAGUGCAGCUUGGCUGGGUCAUGAUUCGGACGCACGGCUCUCGACCUUCACCUCUACUGAGUCUGUACAGUUGCAGCGAUGGGACAAGACUGUAACUGCCAAUUGGAUACCCACAAAAUUUCCCCCUUGCUUUAAAGUCUAUAUCGUUAAUUAUGGUAGCAUUGGUUACAAUCUGCCACAAUAUCAAUGUUGCCAGCUUAGGUAUAGGAAGGGAUAGAUAGUAGGCCUAGUUGGAUGAAUGUGCACAUGAUGGAAGUUAAAGGUAGACUAAAUAUUCACUAUCUAAUAGGAUCAAAACAAAAAAAAGCUGCCAAAAUUAACACAGCAGGAUAUUUUUUACAUUUUUGCCUCUGCAAGUAGGCUGAAACUUGGCCGCAAGUGGAUCUUCCUGCAAUACAAUAAAAACCCACAAAGAAAUUGUUAAUUGACGACAAAAUAUUUUUUUUUGCAAUGGCCAGCUCAGUCUUUGUACUUGAACCCCAUUGAAAACCUGUGGGUUGAAUUGAAGAGGGCAGUCCACAAGCGCAGACAAAAGAUAUCAAGAAUCUGAAAAGAUUCUGUAUGGAGAAAUUGUCAAAGAUCCUUCCCAAUGUGUUAUCUAAUCUCAUAAAACAUUUUAGAGAAAGGCUCAGUGCCGUUAUCCUCGCAAAGGAAGGCUGCUCAAGUAUCGAAAACAGUGGUGCCAAUAAUUUUGACCCCUAUCUUGUUGAGAAUUGUUUUUAUUAGUUGUUAAAUAAAAACAUUUCUUUCAAAUAAUGUAAUUUUACAUUUUUGGGCAGCAUACAAUUAGGUCAGUAUUUGUUUUAUUUUAAUUUAUACUGUCUUUUUUGUUCAUCUUUAUCAAGGGUGGCAAUAAUUUUGGUUAUCCACUGAGCUAUACAUAAAAUAAAAUACAAUUCUGAAAAUAUACCUAUAGGGGACCACAUCAGAUGGUUUUGAUCAGUUCAAUUGCUAAAUUCAUGUAAUUCUACACAUUUUGCCAUCGGGCAGAGAGGGAAAUGUGCAGUUUUAUAGCUAAUGGAACGGUCGAAAUGUACACAAUUAUUACCCGGAGGAAAAUGGGGGAGGGUCAUUGAUAAGGGAAUUUAUAGGUUUAAGUUAAUGAUGAAGUAAUUCCACCCUGAAUCAUAACUAUUAGUGAUUAUUAGUUUAUAUAGCAUGUAUAAUGAAUAAUUAACGUAAACGUAAGUUCGGUAGAGACAUGUGAGGGAGAGAAGUGUGUGUGUGUGACUACGAAGAUACUGAGAACAAUUCAACUGUAUGACCGGUCCCAUGCAUCAGGCCUCCAGUGCGCAUCCACAGUCCAGUACGUCCUGUGCCUCCUCCCCGCACUCGCCCUGAGGUGAGUGUCAUCAGCCCAGUGCCACCUGUAUCGGUCCCACGCAUCAGGCCUCCAGUGCGCCUCCACAGUCCAGAGCUUCCUGCAACAGUUCCCAGUCCAGAGCUUCCUGUGACAGUUCCCAGUCCCACUCCGGACCGAUAUUGUCACGUUCUGACCUUUAUUUCCUUUGUUUUGUAUUUAUUUAGUAUGGUCAGGGCGUGAGUUGGGUGGGCAGUCUAUGUUUGUUUUUCUAUGAUUUGGGGAUUUGUAUGUUUCGGCCUAGUAUGGUUCUCAAUCAGAAGGCAGGUGUCAUUAGUUGUCUCUGAUUGAGAAUCAUACUUAGGUAGCCUGGGUCGCACUGUUUGUUUGUGGGUGAUUGUCUAUGUUGAUUGCUUGUGUCAUCACAGUUCUCAUUUAGCUUCACGGUCGUUAUUUGUUUAUUGUUUUUGUAUUCAGUGUUCAGUACUUUCUUUAAUU
ensembl:lncRNA